ACUUGUAACGUUCUUAUAAUGUCAUCUCAUGAAGAGUAAAGGCACUAAAGAAGACAGAUAUUAGACAAGAAGCCACAGCAGUCAGGGUGUCGGGCACCAUCUCAGCACAUUUCUC